rnacentral:lncRNA from 1 species
GUACACCCUUUCUACACCUAUUGUGCAGCCUUUGUAUAACCUUCGUACAUCAUUUGUACACCUUUUACACACCCUUUGUACAUCAUUGGUACAAAGUUUGUACAUCAUUUCUACACUCUUUGUGUAAACCCUUUGUACACCUUUUCUAUAUCUAUUUACAUCAUUGUACUCUCUUUGUACAUGUUGUGUAAACCUUUUAUAACCAUUUAGAUACCCUUUGUACACCCCUAGUAAACCUUUUGUACACCGUUUGUCCAUAUUUUAUGUACCCUUUGUAUUCACUUUGUACACCCUUCGUCCACCCUUUCUAUACCUUUUAUAUACCUGUUGUACACCCUCGGUACUACCUUUGUAACACUUUUCUACUCCAUUUGUACACCUUUUAUAAACCCUUUGUAAACCCAUUCUACAUCAUUUUUAAACCCUCUGUACACACUUUCAACACCCCUUAUACAAUCUUUGUACACCCUUUGUAUACCCUUUGUACUAAUUUUGUACACCUAUAAUACACCUAUUGUACACCCUUUGUAAACCAUUGGUAGACCCUUUCUAAAUAUUUCUAUAUAUUUUUACACCGUUCGUACACCAUUUCGACACGCUUUCUAUACUAUUUAUACACCCUUUAUACAUCAUUUCUACACCCUUUGUACAUCCAUUGUAGACCCUUUCUAUAUCUAUGUACGUUUUGGUACACCUUAUGUACACCGUUUGUACACCCACUAUACACCUUUUAUACACCCUUUAUACACCCUUUCUACAUCAUUUCUACACCAUUUAUACACCCAUUGUACACGUUUUUUAUAUAUAUCUAAAUUUCGGAACACCUUAUGUACACCCUUUGUGCACCCUUUGUCCAUGCUUUGUACACCCUUUAUUCACCUUUAUACACACUUUCUACACCCACUGUGCAGCCUUUGUGUAAGACCCAAGUAAAUUCAAGAUUUACCAAGUAGUGUCAAAAUCCAAGUUAUAUUGUAAAAUAGAAUGCUGUCAGGUUUGACAUGGUUUAGGAUUUUAAUUAUAACUUUUUAUACAAUUGUGAUAUUGAGUUGAUUCUUGUUGCAUUGGAAAAUAGACUCAAAUAUCUUUCUUUGGACACCAAACUCGCAAUUUUUGGACAACGGGAAUAGCUGCAGUAAAAAUUGUAAAAUCGUAAUUGUGAUCACGUUCUGGUGUUUUUCAGCUUUGACCUUUGCUGACUAUUUUUCUUAUUACUAUUUCUAUAGAACUCCAAAUGAGUUGAUUCUUUUUUUAUUGAAAACUAGACUCAAAGAGCUUUGAUUUGACUACUCAUACACAUAUUUUUGACUUCGGGAAGGAAUUUAACCGAACUGGGCAAAAUGUGACAGUUUUACUGUCCAGGAACUAGAGUGCAACGUGAAUGGUAAGUGAAAUUUCACAAGUUACAACUUAUGGAGUAGGUAGGAUGCUUUCUGCACAUGGAGAAUAUUUUGGGACCCUUUGGAGACAUUCUUUCCAGAUUUUGGGGUUGGAAAAGAGAUUAGGAUGGUCCAUUUCUAGUGUAUUAUGACUAAGUGUCAUGUGCAUGGGUCCUUAGUUGUCUAAGGGCAUCUUCUUUUAAUUCCAAAUCAGAUCUAGAAUUUUGGGGCAGAGUAGAGAGGUCCUUGGUGAGUGGUGAACGAAAAUUCUAAGUGUGCUAAGUGUUGAGGCUGACUUGGUUUAGCAAGGGAGGGAGGAGUUACUCUCUUUGAAGAAGAAUUUAAGGUGUACAAGUCUUCAAGAGGUAAGGGGAGCUAACUCAAACUUUGGUUUUAGAAUUUCAUGGAUGUGGGUAUGAUUUCAGUUGCUUGAAUCUUGGAUAUGAUGGGCUGAAUGGAGAUUUAUUUGGUUAAAUGUUUGGUAUGAUUUAAAGGAGAUGAUACAAAUGGAAUUUUUUUACCAUAUCUUUGGUCUAUGGAUUUUGUAUGAACUUUAUGAUGAAAAAUUGAUGGAUAUAUGUUGGAUUGAAGGUGGAUUUUCUUUCUAACAUGUUGAUAUACAAGUAUAUGAAGUUUUUAAUGUAUUAAGUGGUGAAUUGGGAUGAGAAACAUGAGACUUAUGCCUCACUUUUUAUCAAAUACGAAAAUGGUCAAAUUUGAAUGGUUGAUAAAUUUUGGAUGGAUGGGUUGAUUUGUUGUAUGGAGAUAUUUAGCAAGAUGAAAGUAUGAUGAGUAAAUCAUCAAAAUUUUGAUAUUUCAAAGUUUAUGAGAUGGAAAAUGGUAGAUCUAAAGGAGUGUCUUGUUGAGUAAAAAUUGAUGAUGAACUUUGAGAAAUUUACUUAAAUAUUGAAAAAUUUCAAAUCUAUUUUUGAUUAUGGAUGAAUGAAUAUGAAUGUUGUAGUGAGAUCUUUGGGCUAAGAAUAAUCUUCACUAGGAUGAAAAUUUUGAGCAUGUGUUAAUGGAAAGGAGAUGUAUUAUAAUUUGGAUUGAACAUUGAAUUUUCAUAUGGAUGUUAUGGUAUAAGUUGUUAGGAGAUUUUAAAUUGUCUAAAACCUUGAAAAUCAUGGAAAACAUAGGGGUUUUCUCUUAGAUAUUUUUGGUGUACGAAAAUUUCAUAUGUUGAAGGGUAAUGAGCUAAGAUUCAUGAUAUGUAUGAGGGGUUAGAUGUGUUCUCUAUAUUUUAGAUGAAAUUAAUAGUAGAAAUUCUCUUGAAAUAUGGGUUGAAUUGGUGAAAAUGGAAUAUGAUUAUAUAUAAUAUUUUUGUUGUUGUUAGAAAGAUUAUUUUUAUGACAAUCCAUGAAGUUUUCAGAUUUGUUACACAUAAAUAAAUCUUGUUGUUUAGUGCUGUAAAAAUACUGUUACUGUAUUAAAAAUUUCUUGCUGUUACUGUAUUUAAAUUGUUUGCUGUUUGUGCUGUAAAAANAAAUUUCUUGCUGUUACUGUAUUUAAAUUGUUUGCUGUUUGUGCUGUAAAAAUACUGUUACUGUAUUGAAAUUUGUUGCUGUUACUGUAUUUAAAUUGCUUGCUGUUUGGUGCUGUUUGGGUGCUGUUACAGUAUUUAAAUUGCUUGCUGUUUGGUUUUAAAAUAUGUUAAUUUAAAUAUAUCUUAUAUUUUGAUAAAUGGAUGGUGUGUGUGAGUUAUUUUGGGAUUUGAUGUAACAUAAUUUGGGGUUGUUUGAAUGUUUAAAAAUCUCGGUUGAAAGGUUAUUAUUAUGUGAUAAAUUAUUGGUGAAUAUGUGUAAUUUUGAUUGGAUUGGUCUUGUUAUAUGAGUGGUGGAUAGUAAGCGUUGCGGUUGUUGGGCCGGAGAAGCUCUGGAAGAGUGAUGGUAAGCAACCCUACACACGGGUGAUGUGUGUAACCGCCCGGGGAAUCUCUUGCAUUGAUGCAAGAGUGAUGGGGGUGACGUGGGAUACUAGUCCGGUGAAUCUCGUAUAAAUUAAUAACUGCCCGGGGAAGCUCUAAUAAGAGUGAUGGGAGUUCACGCUAUGCAUAUUGGUGUAUGCAUUCUAAUUUGGUGUUUGAUGCAUAUUGGUGUAUGCAUUUUGAUAUGUUGUUUGAUGCAUAUUGGUGUAUGCAUUCUGAAUUGGUGUUUGAUACAUAUUGGUGUAUGUUUAUCGUAAUGAUUGUUGGCUCACCCUUGCUUGUGUGUGCAUGUGAAUGCGAUGAUCGUAUAAUGCGUGAUGUUAUACG